AAGCUGCUAGAAGUUUCCCCCCCCCAGUGAAGCCAAUGAUAGCUGGCUACAGGAGGGACUUCCCCCUGCUGGCCAAGUGAAAGCCAAUAAUUGUACCUCUGUGAUAACAUAUUUAAAAACAAGUUUGUUGUGCAGAAGUAUUUUCCAGCCAGGGGAGAGCUGAUCAAAGCUCCCGGGCGGCCCUGCCACCUCCCCUGCCGUAGGGGAAGAAGGGUGAUGGCAGCAGCCCGGCCCAGGCCUCUCGGCACCUAGCCCAGAACAGGCAGCGACGUCCCAGCCAAGCAGCCUGUGCUGCUCUCGGCAGUGCCGGCCGAGCUGAGUGGCAGUCCCUGCAAAGCGCCGGUUGGGGCCAGGGCCAGGGCCGGGGCCAGGGCCAGGGCCGGUGCCGGGGUGUGCGGCCCCAUGAAGAGCAGCCUCGCAGUCCCUGGGCCCGCCCUGGGAGCAGCCCAUGCUGGAGCCCAUCCUGCCCAAGGAGCCGAACAGUAUCGACAGCACCAAAGCCCCCAAGCCGAGCCCAUGCUGGAGCAGACGGAUGCAUGGAAGAAGGCUGUUACUCAAGUGGAAGGCCCAGGAUGGAGCGGAGUCCUUCAAGAGACUUGUGGCCUGUGGAGAGGAAAAUUCACACUGGAACAGGUUAUUCCCAGGCAUCGUUCUGCUGGAAAAUUUGGCCGGGAUUUAUCCAUGAGAAAGGUCUUCCAUAGCUGUUCAGCUCUAUCCAAUCACAGAUAGUGAGAUCUCAAGGAUGGAGAAAAGACUACAGUCUUGUUUUUCCUCUAGGAGCUAAUACACAGGAAUACGGCUGAAAGUCACUCAGCCUAACCUCGUUGAAGCACCAUGCAGGUCGGAUGUGGAUUUGGCUCAGUUCUGGAAAUGCUCAAGUAUGAAAGGAGAACAAAAGGAUCACUUUCUGGAUUUUUGAACAGCCUAUUGGACCUGCAUCCAAGAAUGAUGAGACAAGCAGCAACUGUUAUUGCAACAGCAUUUUGCUAGCACAAGCACCAUCAUUUCAUUUCAAUGCUUACCUCAGAUAUGUUUGGUAAUGAUAAAGUGUAACUGUUCUGUUACCUCUAAUAGUUCAGUCACACCUAAAUCAGUAUUUUUGUCCUGAAGUUCUUUGAGCCUAGUAGAAACAGUGGGAAAAAUCAGCAUAUCCCAGUUUGGUGUGGAUACCCAACCUAAAAUAUUACAGGUGUUGCUCUACCUGAACUGUGUGGAAUACAGAUGAAAUUGGACUGUAAGAUGUUGAAUAUUAGUUGGAGGAAUAAUGAUUGACACAACAAAUUGGAUAAGUUCUGUUCAAAUCUGGGUAAAUUUCUAAAAUGGUCUGCUAAUCUGAAGCUAUGUAGGAUGUGCUUGUGAUCAGACAAGCAACGUUAUAGAAGUGUCUUAAUAUACUCUAUCUUUUCUUGUAACUUGAAAAUAUUUCAACUUUUUCUUACUGCAUCUGAAAAGAUUAGUACCAAAAGGAUUAAAGGACCUUAUGCUUUAUUGUGAGUACAGAUAUGAAUGUCAAAUAAUGCAAGCACAAUUACUUGGAUCAAGAACACCUUGAGUAUUAGGACUUCGUAAACUAUGCCCUUUUUUUUCCUUUUUUGUUAUCUGUUGAUGGAAGCUUUGAUGGGAAAAACCUGAAACACAACUUUAGUCUAUAUAACUCUGUCUCUCUUCUUAAAGGUGGCAUAACUGUACUUUUCUCUGAAAGGCUUACGUGCUGGAGGUUUUAAUUAAAGACAAAACAGCAGAAAAGCUCACACUAAGUUGUCUUGCACAACCCAGCUAGCUGACUUUCACUGAAAGUGCAAAGAUCCUCUGCACUCAUGAAAGACAACACAAGAUGUGCAAUGUGGGCAGAGAAGAAAAUUUUAAUCCACAAAGCAUUUUCAUUUGAUUACAUUCCAUGAAAACAUCUAUAAUUCACAAAAGUGGUUUGGUCAAGACAAAAAUAAGAUCAUCGGCUCAAGUUGAUGUAUCCCCAGAUGAAAACACCUGACUUUGCAAAAGUGAAUUGAACAGCCUCAAACAACCCACCUAUUAUCUGCAUGUUAAGUUCAAGUUAAGAGUUCUGAAAUUUUCAUUCCUUUUCAGUUUAGUCAUCUAUUUUAAAAUUAAUCUGGAGAACACAAAGCCAAAAUGUAAAUUCUUCUUUACUGGCUUUCAGCUCCAAUGUACUCAGAGAGGAAAUUCCAUGUUCUAGGAAAACCUUUCCAAAGGAUUGAAUCCAAAGUCAUCUAAAAACAAGCACAGAGCUGUUUAAAGUACAAAACAAGGAAAGUAGCUCUUC